rnacentral:rRNA from 1 species
UACGUAGGGUGCAAGCGUUGUCCGGAAUUACUGGGCGUAAAGGGCGCGUAGGCGGUCAGACCAAGUCGAGUGUGAAAUUCCAGGGCUUAACUCUGGCGCGCUCGCUCGAUACUGGUCGGCUAGAGUGUGGAAGAGGAUGCUGGAAUUCCCGGUGUAGCGGUGAAAUGCGCAGAUAUCAGGAGGAACACCAGUGGCGAAGGCGGUUCUCUGGGCAUUACCUGACGCUGAGGAGCGAAAGUGUGGGGAGCGAACAGG